rnacentral:lncRNA from 1 species
GGGAAUGCAAACAACAUCUCAAAUUAAUUUUCCAAGGGAAAUACAAGUGAAUCGCAACUGUUUGAAGAACAAGAACUAAUUAUUUAUUUAUGCAUCAACAUUUCACAUAUGAUAUGAUAACAACUCACACAUCACACAAGGUAAGCAUUAAAGCCAAACUCUGAGUACACGAAUAUUUAAAGCAACAUAAUGACAGAACUCAUUCUUAGAAAGUUCAACCAGAGAUCUCAAUAGACUUAACAUCAGGUUUCUUAACUUCUUCUUUUGGAACAGUUACAGUGAGAACACCAUUCUCCAUUGCAGCUUUCACCUGAUCCAUCUUGGCAUUUUCGGGCAAUCUGAACCUCCUCAUAAACUUUCCACUGCUACGCUCCACGCGAUGCCAUUGGUUGUUC